GCCUCUUGUCACGUUUCUCUGCCUGGCUGGGACAAAAAGAGCAACCCAGAGCCUUGGAACAAGCUGUGACCCAACGACCAGUACAAGUUCUAUGCGGUGAAUGCAGACUAUGACAAGCUGAAAAAAGGAGCACCCAGAUAUCUGAAGAGCAAAUGAAUCUGGGAGCUAUAGUUUGGGUCUUUGGGUUUGAUGCUUUUGUAACUGGAUCUGUAAUGGCUUUUAGUCAAAUACAAUAAAUGAUUGAUUGAUUGAUUGAUUGAUUGA